rnacentral:rRNA from 1 species
CCUACGGGGCGCAGCAGUAGGGAAUCUUCCACAAUGGACGAAAGUCUGAUGGAGCAACGCCGCGUGAGUGAAGAAGGGUUUCGGCUCGUAAGGCUCUGUUGGUAGUGAAGAAAGAUAGAGGUAGUAACUGGCCUUUAUUUGACGGUAAUUACUUAGAAAGUCACGGCUAACUACGUGCCAGCAGCCGCGGUAAUACGUAGGCGGCAAGCGUUGUCCGGAUUUAUUGGGCGUAAAGCGAGUGCAGGCGGGUCAAUAAGUCUGAUGUGGAAGCCUUCGGCUCAACCCGGGGAUU